rnacentral:tRNA from 1 species
AGGGUGAUAGCUCAUUGGUAGAGUGCAUGCUUGGCAUGCGGGAGGUCCUGGGUUCAAUCCCCAGUACCUCCA